GGUGAAAUUCGUAGAUAUUAGAAAGAAUACCAAUUGCGAAGGCAGCUUCUGGAUCAUUACUGACACUGAGGAACGAAAGCAUGGGUAGCGAAGAGGAUUAGAUACCCUCGUAGUCCAUGCGUAAACGACGUGUGUUAGACGUUGGAAAUUUAUUUUCAGUGUCGCAGCGAAAGCAUUAAACACACCGCCUGGGGAGUACGACCGCAAGGUUAAAACUCAAAUGAAUUGACGGGGACCCGCACAAGUAGUGGAGCAUGUGGUUUAAUUCGAAGCAACGCGCAGAACCUUACCAGUCCUUGACAUGGGGAGUUUGGACUCCGGAGAUGGAGUCCUUCAGUUCGGCUGGCUCCCGCACAGGUGCUGCAUGGCUGUCGUCAGCUCGUGUCGUGAGAUGUUGGGUUAAGUCCCGCAACGAGCGCAACCCUCAUCUUUAGUUGCCAUCGGUUUGGCCGGGCACUCUAGAGAAACUGCCUGCGAUGAGCAGGAGGAAGGCGGGGAUGACGUCAAGUCCUCAUGGCCCUUAUGGACUGGGCUACACACGUGCUACAAUGGCAAGUACAACGAGUCGCAAUACCGCGAGGUGGAGCAAAUCUCUUAAAGCUUGUCUCAGUUCGGAUAGGAGUCUGCAACUCGACUCCUUGAAGUUGGAGUCGCUAGUAAUCGCAAAUCAGCAAAGUUGCGGUGAAUACGUUCUCG
rnacentral:rRNA from 1 species